UUUCCUUUUAUUUCUUUAUCUUUCUUCUUCCUCAUUUCUUCUUCUUCCUUCUGUUUCUUCUUUUCUCUUAUUCUUCUCCUUCUGUGAGUGAUUUGAGAGUUGUUUGUGAAAGUGAUUUGAGAGAAUCGUUUGAUGAUGAUGAUUAGAUGAUGAAGGGGAUGUUGUAGCUGUGAAUUAUGAUGAAGAACAGUUAGGGUUCGAAUCUGGGAAGAUCAAAAUUAGGAUUAUAGAUUCGAUUAUUGCUUUGAAGAUUUAGAAGAUAAGAUACAGAGCUAUGGCUUGAUGAAGAAUCACGGGUUGAUGUUUAAUUAAAGUGUUGAAGUGGAUUUGGUGAUGAAUUGAAGAACUAGGGUUUCUCAAGAUGAACUGGAAGUUCGAUUUAGUGAUGUUUAAGAAGGAUUGAAGUUGGUUUUUCAUUGAUUGAGGAACGGGGUGGAGUUAAUUAGAUGUUGGAGCUUUAAUUUCAAUUUAAUUGUGAAUUUGAGAAUUAGGGUUCUUGAGUCUCGAUCUCAGAGAAGCUACGGAAGAUGAAAUUGAAGAUGAAGAAGAUGAUGUUGAGAGAAAUAGAAGAUGGGUUUGAAUUAAAGAUGUGAGGUAGUUCUGUUGAAAUAUCAGUGAGUUAGGGUUCUAAAGAGGAUUGAGAAAUAAAUUGGGGUUUAUGGUAUUGGUGUUCUGAAAUUGAGAUGAACUGUUGAGGAACUGAAUAGAGUUAAAGUAAGCAGAAUUGUAUUAAAUUGCUCGACCUGGAUCAUCCUGAAGUAAUUUUUUCUCUAAGUUAAUUCAGUAUGGUUAAUCAAUUCAUUGUUUGUUUAUGGGCGAUUGAUAUUAGAUUUGUAAAGGGUGUUAUUAAGAAUCAAUAUGAAUGUGGAGUUGAGUUUUGAAACUGGUAUUGAUGUGAACCAGUUGGAAAAGGAAAGGAGGUAAUAUUAUUGAGUGAUGAAGGACUGCUGUGUUGAUGAAUAUGUUCUGAAACUGAGAUUGUGACACUGCAGAUGGAACUAUUGGUGUUGUAGAUACUAGAAAGGGGAUGGAUAGUUGGAUGGGUGUAUCUGUAGUAUAAUUGAAUUGGUAGUGGUCAUGGUUUUUAGUUGUGGCUGUAGCAUUAAAUGGUAAAGAUGAGUACAGGGUUUGAAUGUGUUUUCUGGAUAGUUGGUAUGGUUGAAAUGGAACUGUUGUUGUAGAAUAGGUUUGUAUAUGUGACUGGAAUGUGAAGUUCUUCCUGAAUUGAAUGCAUGGGUGCUGGAACUGGGAAGGCUAUGGAUUGCAGUUGUAUAUGUGAAGUGGCUGUAACUUGUGAUGUUGCCGAGUUUAGUUCACAAUGGAUGUGACUGAGAUAAAUAGAACAUAAUGGAGAUGGUGGUAUGCAGUGGAAGUGGUGUUUCAGAUGUAAUUUGGUUAAUUGGUAUGAAUAUGAUGAGUUAAGUAAUGCAGAUCCUUAUUAUAAGGAAGAUUGAUACAGGGGAGGUUACAGAUUGUGGUUAGUAUGGUGAAUGAUAUGGUAUGCUUGAGUUAAUGAUGAUAUUGCUGUUAAGAGUGGAGUGAUUAUGUAUGAGUAAUUGAGAACAAAAUUGUCAGUUCCAGGAAAGAGUUGAGUUGAAUCCUUUUAGUAGAAGCUUGUAUCUGCAAUUGCAGUCAGCUGCUAGCUUUGGGGGCGCUACAAUAUGGUUGGAAAUGGUAGAACUGACGUUGUUAUUAAAGCCGAUUAGAAGAACAUUGCAGGGAACUGGAGCUGCAGUUGUGGAGUUCGAAGCUGUAAAAUGGUGGUUUGAGAAGCUGAUGAAAAGAAGUGGUAUUAUAGAUGGCUGAAGCUGAUGCUGGUAUUUAGAGUUACAGGUGCUGAUGCUGUUAAGUUCAGGGAAUGAGAUGGUUUGUGGUAGAAUGGUUGUUUGAAGUUGCAGAUUGUAGUGGCUCUGAAGAUUGUGUUGUUGUUAGGGGUUGUACUGCAGGAUAGGUGUGUAUGAUGCUGUCAAGGGUUAGUUCAGGGCUAAAACUGUAAAACUACAUAUUUGUGUGCCUUCAUUCUGCAAGGAAGUAGAGCCACUAAAAAGAUGAUGAGUGCCUAUGCCUCUCUGCUUGAUUUCCUUGAAUGAUGAAUGAUUUGGAACAAAAUACUUAACGAAAA